GACGAACCGUGCGAACGUUGUUCGGAUUCACUGGGCUUAAAGGGCGCGUAGGCGGACGGUCAAGUCGGGGGGUGAAAUCUUUCAGCUUAACUGGAAACGUGCCUUCGAUACUGACCGUCUCGAGGGAGGUAGGGGCAUGUGGAACUUCCGGUGGAGCGGUGAAAUGCGUAGAUAUUGGGAGGAACACCAGUGGCGAAGGCGGCUCACUGGACCGGUACUGACGCUGAGGCGCGAAAGCGUGGGGAGCAAACGGG
rnacentral:rRNA from 1 species